GCUAAUUGCUGGGGGCAGGGGUCCAGAAGAUGUGUUUGAGUAGAGUCUUGAAGGGUGAAUAAAAGUUGGUUUAGUAGGUAAAGAGGAUAGUAGAGAACAAGCAAGAAGAUAUUUUCCAAGCUGGAAAAAAAAAUUUAUAAAAAGCAUUGAUUUGUAAAAGGAACUGGUUUUGUGCAAGAAAUGGUAAGUUCGGACUGGCUGAAAGAAUAUAGAGUGCUGAGUUCUAAAGAGCACCAAUUAGAAGCAGAAGCAAUGUGUGGACAGGACUUUUGCCAGCCAAGGAAUUUAGAGUUAAUCCCUCAGAGAUGAUAAAGAAUGGAAGAAGACUUUAAGACAGGGGCCUGCUGCAAAUGAAGAUGAAGAGUUCAAAGAUGAAAAGGGUGUGCGUGUGUGGUGCGUGGGUCAUGUGGGUUAUGCAGUGUUUGAUGUGGGGGGGUGGAUUAGGAGGUGUCUGUGUGUGGUAAGGGUAGUGUGUCAUAUAUGGUACGUGUGAGGAUUAUGGUUUAUGGGUGUGGGUGUGUAUGCUGAGUGUUGUAUUCACGUAUUUGUAUAUUUUCGGGGAAGAGUUCUCCUGGUAUGUGCAUGGUUCUCAGAGAGGCAAAAAUGGAGCAAGAGGCAAAUGAGUUCAAUUUCUGUUUUGGCCUCUGGUGGCAUUGUCAUGGGGCAUCAGUGUACUGGGGCUGUGGGGAAGAAGGAUUGAGAAGGAAAGAGAAGUAUUGUUCAAGUGUCUGUGUAUACCCACAGGAGUGCAUAAUUUAUGGAAGAUUCUUGGAGUAUAGAUUUUGAAAUUCAUCAGACUAGGCUGAUUAAUUUUUGAGCCUCAGUUUUCUCAUCAGUAAAAAU
rnacentral:lncRNA from 1 species